CCCUAUGGGAAGCACCUGCAAUAAGCAGAUUUCUCUCUCUUUCCCAUACAGCAAAAUGAUCCAUAGGUGAAACUCACCGUAAAGCACUGAGGAACACAAAUUUGCGUUUUGAGGAUGGGAAAACUCAAGUUGAGAAAUGAAAUUGGACUUACCCGAGGUCAUUCAAGGUUCCGGUGCCAUCCCUACCAGGCUGUGACCAUUAGAAGAAGUGAUCUCUGCUUCAGUUCUCUUCAACUUGUCAUUAUCAAGGCUGGCGAUCCCACUACAUGCAGUAUUAGCUCUUUAUUGUCUGUACUAACCUGUCUGAUCAUUCUGCUUCACCUUUGGAGUGACAUGAGAGAAAAUUUCAACUCCAGAAGGGACUUACCUGUGUCUGGGACACCACUAAUGACAAACAGAACCCAACUGGCCUUUGGAGGUUUUGUCCAAAAAGUCCUCCUCCAUUUAAUAAAAAGUGAG
rnacentral:lncRNA from 1 species